rnacentral:rRNA from 1 species
AACCUAAAGAAACUGAAUUUUAGGUGAACCCUGCCCAGCGACACUAAGUUUAGCGGCCGCAGUACCCUGACUGUGCUAAGGUAGCAUAAUAACUUGUCCUUUAAUUGAGGUCUUGAAUGAACGGGUCUACGAGAAAUGCUCUGUCUCCUGAAUAAAAUCUGCUGAAUUUACUUAAAAGGUGAAAAUUCCUUUGGAUAUUGAAAAAAGACGAGAAGACCCUUAGAAUUUUGAUGAAAACUAUUAAUAACUGAUAGGUUAGUUUUCGUUGGGGCGACGAGGUAGCAGAUAGUUAACCUACUUAAUUUGAUAUUUGAUAUGUCGAGUUUUACUACAUAUAAUUAAAUUACCUAAGGGAUAACAGCAUAAUACUUUUAGUGUUUGUGACCUCGAUGUUGGACUAGGGACUAGUUGGUUAGCCACCAGGAUAGAUGAUUCUGUUCGAAUCUUAUACCCU